CAAAGCGGAACCUAUGAAUGCAGGAGGAGAGAGAGAGCAAGGGAAUCGAAAAAGAGGGAAACACAGCCGCACAUCUCCAUCGCUCAGGAGGAAAACGGUCAGGGAUGAGAGAACCGGGAAGAGAGAGACAUGAACAAGAGAAAGAGUAAGCUAAAGGGGAGAGAAAGCAAAAACUCACAUCAUCUCUGUCAAAGCCUCUUUCGUUGGAUGUCGAUGUUGGUCCUCUUUGCCCUCCCCCUCCGUCUCCCUCUGCCUCCUUCGCUCUCUACGGCAUUGCUGGAUCCGCAAUCUACUGCCCUAUUCUUCCUCUUUCUACAACUCUCACACUCUUUCUAUCCUCCAGCAUGGUACAUGGUACUACACCACACCGCUGUUCAUUCAGAGCAUGUGUGUGAUGAAGAGAGUGAGAGAGAGAGAGUAGGAGAGAAAGAGCGAGAGUGAGCAAAAGAGAGGGAGAAGCAGCAGGAAUAGAGGGGAUCACUGUCCUAUAAAGAGAUCACGUGCGUUGGAAAGGGAAAAAGAGAGUACAGCAGGGCGCUCAGGGACAAGGGCGCUGGAAUUGUGACACAAAUGAGUGUGCACGGACCAAAGAAGACAAGGAGCACAGAAGGAUGAUGCAGAGCUUCACAGACCGCAAACAUUGUGAUGCAUGAAUCACAUGCUGGCAUCUCAAUGCCUGUCAGUCUAUCACUCACUCACACUCACAGCAGUGCGAGAAAAGGCGCCAAGGCCUCCUCAGGUGAGUUGAUGCCAACGCGAGCAGUUCAGAAGAACCGACAGAAAACUCUCCACGUGCACAACAGAAACUCAUUCAGUAAUAAAGUACGCACAUCUCUUUAGAUUGUUGACAGUUGAGAGAAAAGAAUCUCUAGAUUUGGACAUUUCUUAACUACAUUAAACGGCAAAAUUUCUUUUGACCACCAAUUUUUGUAUUUCAUUCUGUAUUUUAUGCCAGACCACUAGCUAAACUAGGAUAAACUACAUCUAAACUGGUCUUCUUACCAGUAAGUCCUUCAUUACAACAUAUCAGCAAAGCACCGACAUAAAAAUUGUAAAAUUGUUCUUACCUGGGCGCGUCAAAGCUGUCGUAAGAUCCAACGGUGUAAUGUCGGAAGAGUCGCUUGGCUCUCUCACUGCGGCUCUCUGAAAGACGCAAACACAACCGCAUCCACAUCAUCACGAGUUUGUGUGUAUGAGGGUCUAACUACAGCAUGACAAGAAAACAUAUGUCCGACUUGAAGUUUCCCACUCUGACAGAGCGUGGUGGCCCAAACCACGGCGAGUUUAGCCAGCGUGAAAUGGCACAAUCGGCCUCUCUCACACUCCAGUAGAGUGCUGUAAACUAUUAAUAGUCAUCAUAGCUGCUCUCCCUCACAAGUCUGACAUCACAGAGAAGCUGUGGCAGUCCGACUGUCCUUCAACUACAUCUGGGACAAUCAAAAUGACAGCUCCGAGUGUAGUUCUUUGAUACUUAUAACGUGCGUGUAAUGUGUGUGCGUGUGAGAGAGGA